UGCUCGCCUCGCCACUGCCGCGUGGUUACGUCAAGACAGCGGGCGGCCGCGUACUAGUUUCCUUAGUACUUGUGCUUCCGUGUCAAUACCGUGUGCUGUAAACUGCUGAACGAACUGAGAUACUCAUUCAGUUUUGGUCGCCUCUCCAUUAUCUCGUGGUGACGUAAAGGUGACGGCCCGUGUGUUAGUUUCCCCGGGUAAUUGUGCCUCCGUAACAUUACUGUGUGCAGUGGUCGUGAGAACUGCGAGGCGGCGGUGUAGACUGUGCCGUGGAGAGCCGCGGGGUGUUGGAAUCGCCUCUCAGUCACCUUGAAGGCGUCAUAUUCCCUCCCUGCUCUUCCCCGUGUCUUCCUGUCGAUGUUGAGAUGGCAGGCCUAAUAAUGACCUGUAGCACAAAGGAACCAGCAGGUGAACCAGCAGCUGUACAAGUGAAACAACUUAGUAGAGAGGAGAUAAUUGGUGGGCUGUGUGUGGUGAGUGCCACAUUGUCUGUGAGGGACCCCCAGAGCCACACAGCACCAGCUGCAACAGCUACAGCAGCAGCAGCAGCAGCAGCAGCAGGAGGAAAUGGCAUCCACCUUCUACCUCACCCAGUGUCACUGGGGCCUCCUCCUCCUCCAGCAGCUGGCCAGGGUGCAGGGACAGGAUGAGCAAGCAGGUGGUGACAGAGAGGGUGGCCAGCUUGUCCCUCCCUCCUGCCACCCAGCCACAGCACUGGCAGUUGCUGCAGUGAGACUGCCCAGGCACAAGUUUGUGCACGUGUCCAGGACGUGAAGGUGAUGGGAACGUGUCCUGUAGGAGGGAGCAGAGCUGUAACAGUACCCGAGUCUGCUGCUGUGCUGGGAGGAGGAGAAAAACAUCAGCAGUAGUUAGUAGUGGCAGUAGUAG